AAAACAAAAAAACGCUUAAGUGUAAAACAACACAAUCAGAUACUAAACGCUAAGACUACCAAGAACCAAAACGCAAAGGAACACGACCCACAUCUCUCUCGCGAUGCAACCCUAGCGCCGUCUACCUCUACCGGCGCCGUCGACCUCUCUCGCUCGCUCGCCGUCGUCCUAAGCGCCGUCGUCCUCUCUCUCUCGCUCGCUCGCCGUCGUCCUCUCUCUCACUCGUCAAAUCGAACUCCAAAUCGAACCCCAAAUCGAACUCCGAUCCAAAUCGAAGCUUUCUCCGGCCUCUACUCUCACGAACGGAACCUUGUCUUUCCCUCUCACAUCGAUUCAGGUACUCUUCUUUCUUUUUUAAUCGUUUUUAAAUUUUUUCUAAACAUGCACUGCGUCCUAUGUUGAUCGAUUCAGGCCUCUACUCCAUGUUCAUUAUAUAAUUAUUCACCGAAUUGAAUUUGGGAAUGGAAAGUUUAAACCCUAAUUUCUAAACAUGCAUUGCGUCCUAUGCUGAUGAUUUUGUUACAAUAGUGCUGCUUUUACAAUUUAACCCCAAUAUUGAUGAUUUAAGGGUAUAUUAACUUGCUAAAAUUCAUAAUCUUAGGGUUGUGAUAUCUUCAGUAACUUUGUUUUCUUUGAUUUUUAUUCACUAUGUGAGUUUGAGUUGUGUUGUUGAUAAUGGAAAUGGAACAGUGAGUCACAAUAACGAUGAUACAACUACAAGUUUAAAGAAUAGUCACAUUCAUCAUUAGCUUUCUCCGAUCCAAAUCGAAGCUUUCUCCGGCCUCUACUCUCACGAACGGAACCUUGUCUUUCCCUCUCACAUCG
rnacentral:lncRNA from 1 species